rnacentral:tRNA from 1 species
GCCGAAGUGGCGGAACUGGUAGACGCGCACGUUUCAGGUACGUGUGGGAUUAUUCCCAUGGAGGUUCGAGUCCUCUCUUCGGCA